rnacentral:lncRNA from 1 species
GUGUGUAGGGAUGUUGAGAGCCUUCAACAUCCGAGUUGUGCUCGAGCUGUGUGUUUUUAGCCGCCGCGCACCACACGUCUCAUCGACAGCAUCAGGCAGCACUCUCCGGAGCCCCCCUGGAGGGGGCGUAUGAGACACGUGCUCGCGUGCACAUGCGCAUCACCAGCAGCGGGUUCUCCGCAGGGACAGAGUCACAUUGCCUAGCUAGUUAGCUCCUAGCUACUUGUUGCCAGGUUUAUAUACAUAUCUAUACCUAGCUAUAUACCUAGGUAUAUGUAUAUACCUAGCUGACCAGCAAGCUAGCUUGCCGGUUGCAUAGCGAUAACUCCAUUUCAACGAUACUUCUGCAGUUUUAAGUACAUCACGCCGCUGCAGGGAAGUACGGCACACAAGGAAAAGCUAGCCAUAUGCAGGCUAGACAGGCAGGCAGGUACGCACGCGGGCAGAAGUCUGUGUGAUGCAGUGCGACGUCAACACGCUGGUGUGCAGGUCAUGAUUUGCGCCGGCGGACAGGUGUGUCCCGGACAAUACGAACAGCUCAGCUCAGGAAACACUGAGAGCAUUGCGCGGUGCGGGGUGCCGCGGCGGAGAGCUGGGCUCUGCUGCGAUGACCGGGGGAGCCGUGGUUAAGGCGGUAAAGGGGGAGGAGCGCCUAGUGACCCUGACACUAGGUGGCGGUUGUAAGGUGGUUGUAGAGGCGGUUAGGUGGGUUUGCGGCGGUUCCGCCUAUGGUAACAGCAAGGCAGAGCCUGGUUUACCUGAUGCGCUGUGUUGUUGCUGUUUGCUGCUGGUGUGGGUCGGACAGUUACGUGUGCCUGUGAUGUUGCGUCUGCGGUUUGCAAAGCUGUGUCCGUAGCAGGACAGCCGAGGACUUGCCGAAUGUCCAGUAGGCAUGAGCACGAGCGGACGCAAGUGGGAGGAGAUACGCGGAAUGAGAACGGCCCCAUGACGCCGGUAAACGGGGUGACGGAAGGCAACAGGCCGAGUCAGUGUGCUGCUUGAGUACACGUCCUACGUGCCGCAGUCGG